rnacentral:ncRNA from 2 species
GCCGGUGACACGGGGUGCCGAACACGUCGGCUGAGAUCAGACCCGCUGUACCUGACCAGGUAAUGCUGGCGGAGGGAUGUCCAUCGUGAACUCA